rnacentral:lncRNA from 1 species
AUUGAAUACAUUUUCUAGGAUUUUUUUUUUUUUGCCUACAAAAACCUAGUAGGACACUCAUCUUUCAGCAGCUUGCCUCUGGGGAGCAAUGUUCCAGUUUCCUGUACUCUCAGAGGUGGGGAAGGCAUGACAGGAAAAAGUACAAAGCUUCUUCAAAGCCAGACUACACGGAAAUAAGGAUGGCAGUAAGAAUCCUACUGCUGAAAAUGGGCUGGGGCAGUGAAAAGACCUGCACCCAGUGGAGGACAUCAGGGACAGUGUCAGGGAGCAUGCUUGACUGAGAUGACAAGAAGGAUGGGGGAAAUCUUGGCACUGGAAGUAAAACAUCAAAAGAACUUGCUGACAUAAAUGUGAUCUCCACCAAUGAUCUAGGAGGAAUUUCAGAGAAGAAAAGGCAGCAAAAGAUUUGAAAUAACUGAAAUAGCUCCUCACUUAUUCUUAGUUCCACAAUGAGACAGAAUUCUAGAAACUUGGAAAUAGCAAGCAUAAGGUCCUACCCUAGAAAAGCCAUGUGUCUACAAUAAGUGAUUUGGGAGACAGUUCAAGUAGUAGGAGCAAUCAGGAUCUAAGCUCUGGAAACUCAAUGCUGGCUCGAAUCACC